GACGAACGCUGGCGGCGUGCUUAACACAUGCAAGUCGAACGGAAAGGCCCUGCUUUUGUGGGGUGCUCGAGUGGCGAACGGGUGAGUAACACGUGAGUAACCUGCCCUUGACUUUGGGAUAACUUCAGGAAACUGGGGCUAAUACCGGAUAGGAGCUCCUGCUGCAUGGUGGGGGUUGGAAAGUUUCGGCGGUUGGGGAUGGACUCGCGGCUUAUCAGCUUGUUGGUGGGGUAGUGGCUUACCAAGGCUUUGACGGGUAGCCGGCCUGAGAGGGUGACCGGCCACAUUGGGACUGAGAUACGGCCCAGACUCCUACGGGAGGCAGCAGUGGGGAAUAUUGCACAAUGGGCGGAAGCCUGAUGCAGCAACGCCGCGUGCGGGAUGACGGCCUUCGGGUUGUAAACCGCUUUCGCCUGUGACGAAGCGUGAGUGACGGUAAUGGGUAAAGAAGCACCGGCUAACUACGUGCCAGCAGCCGCGGUGAUACGUAGGGUGCGAGCGUUGUCCGGAUUUAUUGGGCGUAAAGGGCUCGUAGGUGGUUGAUCGCGUCGGAAGUGUAAUCUUGGGGCUUAACCCUGAGCGUGCUUUCGAUACGGGUUGACUUGAGGAAGGUAGGGGAGAAUGGAAUUCCUGGUGGAGCGGUGGAAUGCGCAGAUAUCAGGAGGAACACCAGUGGCGAAGGCGGUUCUCUGGGCCUUUCCUGACGCUGAGGAGCGAAAGCGUGGGGAGCGAACAGGCUUAGAUACCCUGGUAGUCCACGCUGUAAACGGUGGGUACUAGGUGUGGGGUCCAUUCCACGGGUUCCGUGCCGUAGCUAACGCUUUAAGUACCCCGCCUGGGGAGUACGGCCGCAAGGCUAAAACUCAAAGGAAUUGACGGGGCCCCGCACAAGCGGCGGAGCAUGCGGAUUAAUUCGAUGCAACGCGUAGAACCUUACCUGGGUUUGACAUGGAUCGGGAGUGCUCAGAGAUGGGUGUGCCUCUUUUGGGGUCGGUUCACAGGUGGUGCAUGGCUGUCGUCAGCUCGUGUCGUGAGAUGUUGGGUUAAGUCCCGCAACGAGCGCAACCCUUGUUCACUGUUGCCAGCACGUUAUGGUGGGGACUCAGUGGAGACCGCCGGGGUCAACUCGGAGGAAGGUGGGGAUGACGUCAAGUCAUCAUGCCCCUUAUGUCCAGGGCUUCACGCAUGCUACAAUGGCUGGUACAGAGAGUGGCGAGCCUGUGAGGGUGAGCGAAUCUCGAAAAGUCGGUCUCAGUUCGGAUUGGGGUCUGCAACUCGACCUCAUGAAGUCGGAGUCGCUAGUAAUCGCAGAUCAGCAACGCUGCGGUGAAUACGUUCCCGGGGCU
rnacentral:rRNA from 1 species